GUAAGUGUUACAUCGCUCACUGCAGUCCUUCUCAGAGCUGUCUAUUCAUCUCAAAUUGUGUCUCUGCGGGUGCCGGUCACGGAGACUCCACAACUCAGCACCCCUGGAGCAAAGCUGUGAUUCAUGCCUCCAGAGUUUCAUGACGUUGACUGUGCAGAAGCCAGAAACAAGCCUUCUGCCCCACACAUUUCUCCCUUCUCUUUCCCCAAGACACGUUGGACAUUGUGAGACUGAAGCUAUGCAGAAUUUUCGCAGAAAGUGGGAAUAUCCAGCUUUUGAAGUGCUUCCUGAUCCUAACUACAGCUCAACUAGCCCUGUGAGAGAGUCAAGUGUGAUAUUACCUGCUCUACUUAAGCUCAAGGUGUGGCCCAGUGCAUAAAGGCUUGUAUUGGAGGUCUGCACAGGGAUUCUGGCUCUGCUGCUGCUUCAGCUUGAUGGGCAUGAUGUUGUGGUUUCCUUGACCUCGGUUUGUAUUUCCCUGUGAUGUGAACAAGCCCACGUCACAUUCUGGCCCUGCCAAUGACUCCGCCAAUGGUGAAUCACCGUAAAUGUAAUCUUUGCAUUUUAUCCUCUUCAAACGUUGAACUUUCUUUUUUUUGAAGACAAGCACCUGCAAGCCUUUUAGGAGGUGUUACCCCUACUGUUACUGACGUUUUAAUAAAUACAGAAAGAAAUGCUCCCCACCUAAUUGUCUAAUGUCAACACUUACCUCAUCGAAAGAAGUGAGUCAGUUUGAGCUGAAUUUACAACACGUGCUGUACCUAUGGCCGCCCAAUGGGCAGCGCAUACAGUCUCCUAUCCAUUUUUCCUGUUUUCUUUGAAACCAUAGUAACUAUCGGGCUGUGUUCAUAAAUAUUACAAUGAAUAUUUGUCUUUGUGUGCCUGCACAGGGAAACGUGAAAUAUGGAUCAAAGAUAGCAUUUCAUAAAGGGAAAAAACAGAUUCUUUUCCACAUGGCCUAUACGGCUGUCCCACACGUUAAGGCAGCUGCUGGGCACAAAUAUUCCACCAUGGGGUGAGACAAACAUGAUAAUAGAGGAGAAUGCCCAUCACCAGGAGAGUUCCAUCACUGGGUGACUUCUUGCUUGAAAGACCACUUAGAGGCACUGACAGCAGUGCCCUGCAAGAGGAUGCUUUGCUUUCUGGGUGGGAGUGUAAGAUGGGCUUGCCUUGGCAUUUCAGUCAGCUGGGGAACCAAGGAGGCAGAGAAAUGUUUAAAUCCAGAUGAACCCAACCUUUUGAGGCUUUGGAAACCCUCCUAAGGGAAUCUGCAUACAAUUCUGUACUUCUAGGGAAGAUAUACUUUGGCAGGCUAAUGUGCCAGCUUUCUGGUAUGCUAUCCAUUGGCCAAAAGGGGUCUUAUGUGAAGAAAGCAUCCAAAUAUGAUGGCCAUGGGGACAGGUUAUAGACUAGGUUUGGGUUUGGUGAAAUCAAGUAACUCACUGGCUCAGGAGAAGUGAAGAACAGAAGCUGCAUUUUCUCUCCAACCACACCACUGGAUAAACAGCAUCUGAAGUCCUGAAAUUUCCAAAUUUCAAGUUGUUUUUUUUUUUUUUUAAUGUAAGACACAGCAGUUGAGACACACAGCUGAGACAUCUCAGCUUAAGAUGAUACCAAAAAUUGGCCAGAAGCAUUUUGAAAAUAGGUCUGCUUUCUAGUUCUCUUCUGAGGAGAUCUGCAUGGCUAUGGGGGCACUUCACUUUCCUCUGUUUUCUUUUUGUUGCACAUCUAAGGAUGAAAACAGUAGAGAAAAGUUAACUGAGCUUCAGGGGGUUUCUCUGUUUUUAAUGCAGGGCUCCAUCACUUUCUCAUUUUCAGUCUCCUCUGCACCAAGUCAGGCACCAACUUACUGCUGCUGAUGCAGUUCCAGGGUGAAGUAUACACAAGGUAUGAUAGUGAGUCAGAGCCUAAGACCAGUGCCCAGCAUCAUGCUGGAAUGGCCUGAUACAAACAUUGGGUUAGUGUGCCAGCCUGUUUCUGACUCUCUGGCUUCUGUUUGCAGGCUUACAGCCAGAAGGGAUUGAAACCCAUGGGAGAUGAGGGAUGGGGUGAGGCUGGACCUGAAACGCUCAUGAUAAUGUCCAGUCUCUCAAGGCUCAUGCUAAGCACUGGGAGCAUGCAGCUCAGACAGGGUACAUGUCUCCAAACUCGCUUCUCACUUCAGAGCAGCCCUACAGGACUGAUGGAGAAAGCAAGACCAAAUGUAAACACCAUCACUGCAUGUCUGGGCAAACAUCUUGGUUCUGACACUCACUCUCAGCAUGGACUGGGGUUCUAGAUUGAGCUGCUGUGCUGUCUGGAGUGGUUUGCCCUGCUCUAGAGCUGCAGUGUGGUGAAGGGAAUGUGCCUGCAGGGUUCUGUGGGUGGGCAGAGAGAAGGGACGGAAGGGGAGCAGAGCAUCGGGAAAGAGAGGUUUUCCUCUUCUCUCUUCAGACAGAUUGCUGCUUGUCCCAGAAAAACACAUAAUGCACAGUCAAGUGGAAGGAAGAAAAGAGGCUGGAGGAGCAUCUUUUAAAGGACUGGUUUGGGCAGCAGGAGGGGGAAGUAAUUUUUUUUUAUUAAAAAAAAAGAAAAAGACUUUUUUUGUGAAUUCAGGUAUUUCUGGCUAGUCAGAAUGUUUUGCAGAGGAGGCUCCUUUCUUGUCCCCAUUUAGCUAGACAAUACAAGCCCACAAAUAAAUUCAAUUCUUCCUUUGACUUCACUGCAUCCUCUUUUUGUGCCCUUUGCCCAUUGUGUUUGGAGUCAGCUGCAGCACUCGCCUAUAGCUUCACUGACCCCAUUUGAGCCUAAAGAGUUUCCCACCCACUCACCCCAGGCAAUAAAGCCUUUCUUUAGGCGUGGGGCUUACAGCUUUCCAACCAUGCCGCUGGAUAAAUAGCAUCUGGAGCCCUGAAAUAUUCUAAAGGGUUAUCCAAAUGUUCGUCACUAAAGAAAACUCAUCACUUUUGACUCUAGCUGCUCAAAGGGGAAGGUAUUACUGGGACACUGCUCAGAGGGAGAGAGAUGCAGUGCCCUGGCUGUAAACGCAGGGACCGCUGCAUGGUGUAGCAGCACCCAGCAACAUGCCUGGGAACAAGUUUUGUGGCCACAACUGGAGGAAGCAGUCAGUGUUCAUGGAUGUCAGAUAAUCCACUGUGACAUACGAUCCAAAAACAUAAGGCUGAUGAAUAUUCCUGGCACCGCGUGCCGGUGCUGAGAGCAGAUUAUGCAUUUUUUAAUGUUUGAUGCUCUUUCAACAGUUAAAAGCCAUUUUGGGCAACAGAUAGCUCUGAAGAUAUUUUAAAUAAUAAUUUUUUACCACUGGGGCUUAUCAGCACUUCAUUUCAAGAAGCAGCAUCACAGAAGGCAGAAGGCUCUCCAAGGACUGAGUUCUGAUCUCACUUACACCUAUUUAUAUCUGGAGUAACUCAGCUGAAGCAAAUGGAAUUUACUCCUGCAUUGAGCAAGUGUAACCGAGAGUAGAAUUUAAAGCCUCCUCCACUCAGCACAUCCCUACGUCUCUUAUAUGGACUGAGCUGUUUGCACAGCCUAGGCUGCUGCCGGUGCAGAGGGUGGCCAGAGCAGUUGGGUUCUGCAGCCUGCACAAGCAUCACCUCUGAACAGGACCCAGCAGCGGGGUCAGGAGGAGCUGAGCUACCACUUGUAUGGAUGAAUGUACAAAAUUAGAUUGUAAUUGUAUGUAUAGAUAAGUGGGAUCUGUACACACUGUGGUAGGAAGCUCUGGUUCUAUCAACCCGUUGCCAGCCCUCAGUCUGCAUUUCCCAUGCUGCCAGCCCCGCCUCGUGUAUUACAAGUGGCUGAGGCUCUGCAGAGCUCCCUUGAUGCAAACGUUUGUCUCUCUCAGGCAAUUGCAUUUCCCACUAAAGGCUGCGCUCUGCUUUUUCUGCCCUGCUGGCAGCGCAAAUGUGCCAAUCUCAUUCUCAAGGCAUGGUUCCUGUUGUGGGAUCAAAUGUUAGGAUUUUAAAAGCUAAAGUUUGAUGUGGAUGAACAACUGCCUAUAAAACGCAUUAAGCUCUUACCCUGUAAUGUAUUUAAUUUCACACUGACUGAUGGUAUUGCCCCUGAAUGGAUUACGGCAGGGGGCUGCCAUUGUCCUACUAAACCACACUGGUUAAAUAAUACUUUGGAGUCUAAAGCUGCUCUGGGAGCAUUUCAUAUUGGCUAACGUGAAAUGAGUACCUAGCUUUUCUGGGAUCAUUUUGGGUUGCCUUUGAAAAAAAAGAAAUUAAAAAAUAAAAAUUGAAUACACAUUGCAUUGGUUUACAGGGCAAGCAGGUCUUGCAGGGAAACAGGAGCCCCAAAUGGUACAAGGACAGCCCUGGAGCACCUCUCAGGUCCCCCACAGGUGGCUUGCUCUGUGUUUGUUCAAGCAGUGUCUCCUUGAUAGGAGUGCCCAAAGGGCAGAGGUGCUGCUUAGAGCUCAGAUGAGUUAAUGUCUCCAUACUCUGGCUGAAGGGAUUCCACACAGGGCUUUCUUUUUUCAAUUAUUAUUAGUUAAUGGAGAUUGCUAUACAUCUACUGCUUAAUCUCCCUUCUCUUUGUCUCUUAUGCUGAGGGAAAUCAUGAGCUACUCCAAUGGAGUUCUACAUUCUGCACCCCAAAUCCUGGGCACCGCUGGUCACUGGGACACGUUCUGCCCUCAGCAGAGUCACCUGGGGAAGGUCUGUGGGUAAGCAUGAGGACAUGGAUCAUGUCCUGUGUCACACUGAUCCCUGCUGUAUGACAACUCCAAAUCAAGGAGGAUUUCUGAAGUCCGUGCAACAGCAAGACUCCCUUUGAAGUAAUUUUAAAAGCAUGUGCCUUAUCUGUAUAGGUACAUAUACACACGUAUAGAAAGUUCUGUAGCAUGGUGGAGCAUCACCCAUGCUUGCAUGGCUGGGAAUGUGAUAGUCUGCAGUGUGCUGAAGCACGAGCCCUUAGCAACUUUGCUUAUUGCAUUAGGAAAAAUUAAAAGAUUUUUUCUUUCUUUACAAAGAGAAAGAGUUGUGAUAAGAAAAGGCUAAGGAGGUAUUAAAGCCCCGCUAGUCUUUUUUUGUUUUGUCCCUCCUUCCCCCCCCCCCCUCCUCAACAUCAUCAGAGCCAGGAAAGAAUGCUGGAAGUCAUCAGAGGGAUGGCUGGGAUAGAGAGUGUUAAUUCUUCCAUAUCUAAGCCUCUUUGUCGAAAUUCCCUUUGUCUCUUGCCCCAAGUCAUUAAACACUAAUCCCAUCACUCUUCCUAAUCCGCUGCAGUGGAGCCAGAGUUCAGUUUCGGAAACUGUCUUUGUUGCUUUCCUAAUAGACAGCUUGCUCUGGAUUUCAGUUGGUUUGGUCAUAUUUAGGGCUUUCCAGUGCAGUUCUUUAAUGAAGUGCCAUUAAUGAAACUUUUCCUCCUUCAUGCAGUGUGCACGGGCAUCAAUUGGUUUAGUGUUAAGUAGGGUAAGGUGCCUAGUCAUCUUAGCAGCCUUUGCGAAAUAUGACUGUCAAAGGCAAAACCUAGGAAACAAGACCAUUGAAGAAUAUAGCCACUGAAGUACUCAUUUAAUUACUAAGGAUUUACAAAAGAAAAUCUGUUCUUUGUGGCUUACAAAAGACAACAAGCUCAGAAGAGAUAGUAAAGGGUUUGGGACCUCUUCCUUUUUCUCCCUCCCCCUCUUCCCAACAAAUCCCAGAAGAGGAAAUGUGGCUGAGCAAAGGCACCAAAGCCCAUUGUCAGCUCUUCCCAACCUGCCUCAGGAACACAAACUUUAGGAGCAGUAGGUGUUCCAUUGCUGGGUGAAAUAGACUUGGAGUCUCCUCCUGCCGGGGGAGGUGGCCCAGUUACCCACAUACAUUCUGCAGUGGCAGAAAGUCAAGCAUCAGUUUGGUCCUCCACAGUACAAACUCAAUCUUCUUUGAAACAAGGUGAGGUGUUUCCCUCACUUGGUUACAUGGGUUUUGCUUCUGAGAGGACCUGCUUGCUUCUGGAGCUGGCUCACCAGCUUAAAAAUAUUACCAGAAGGAUAGAUGCUGUGUUCACGUUUCAGUAUAACAGUGUCACCGUGGAAAGUUCCAGAUCCACUUCCAUUGAGUUAACCAAACGAUCUUUCCACUCACCCUUGAGAUUUGGAUGGAAUCUUUGACUCCCAUCUUCUCAGCAGGACACAAAAUAACCAAAUGAAGACUGUGGGUGCAGGAAAGCUAUUGAAGCUGGUAAAUCUGCUGGCUGUUAACGUCUUUCCUGUGAUAUGAACUAUCUCAUUACCAGCUCGCUUGUGAUAGGAAACAAACCGCAUCUCAUUGUACAGCACACCUUCCGUACGCUCUCUUUUACUCUGUUCACAUGCCAUAUAAAUAAGAUCCAGGUCUGAUUAUUUAGCAUUUUAAUUGCUUUGGCAGAGUUAACAUUGCAGUGCCUAAGAACUGAAUGCACCAAAGGAGGACAUUCCUUUAUAGGCUGUCUUCUAACAACUGGCAGGUCUGUGUUUGGUUAGCUCAGAUCAUAGUUUUCCCUCAUUUCGGAUCAGUUUAUUUUGGGUUUCUUUGCAUUUUUUGUGUUUAUGUUCCUAUAUUCUUGGAUUUAGUUCUGUUUUGUUGCCAAACGUUCUGGCAGGUGACACCCUAACUUGAUCUUCUUCAAACAUUUCAGUGCAAUUAUGCUUCCUCUCAUUUUAGCCAGCUCAGUAACUUGCUUUACUAAAAAUCUCUCAAAUCCCCCGGGAAAAUAAAUCAGAUCCAUUUACAAACGGAAUAAAUCACAACAAAGUGAUUCAUCUGCAAAUGAAACCACAGUGUUCUCUGUAGAUAAAGAAAAACAACUGCAUUUUUUGCCACUUCAUCAGGGUUUCUUUUCCUCCCUCAAAUUCCAACGUACAUCUACUGUUGGCAAUAAAAGUUACCCUUGCAUGUUGUUAAAAUUUGUUCAUAUGCUUCAGCACUUCUACUUUCCUUGUAAUUGACUUGCCAAGUUUCUUACUUCGGGGAAUUGGAACGGCUUUCAUAUGCAGCGAGGAAAAAUUUCCUGUAAGAGUCCCUUAAAAAUAUGUAUGUAUGUAUGUCCGUGUGUAUGUGUAUAUAUAUAAGUACAUAUAUAAGUAUACAUAUACACACAUAUGUAUAUAUAUAUAAAACACAUCCCGGUGUCAUUUAUUGGCUGUGCUGGAGCAGUAUAAUUCAGCAGCAUCACCAGCUGAAUCCCAGCUGUCUCCUACACUCCAACCCUUUAAACUCAGUCCUCGAUCAAGUUGCUGUGCCCACGGUGAAUUAACUCCCUAUGGCUGUGUCUUGGCAGAGCUUUCCAUUUAAUCCAUCCCUUCCUUUCUAUUCCCAACUACUGACUUUUUUUUCCACUUCUUUUCUCUGCUCUCCUCAAGUGCAACUCAGAUAUAACAGGAGUGUUGUGGGUUGAGUAACUUCUGGGGGAUGUCUUCAGCAAGGCCUGUGAAGGUUUGAUAAUCAUUAGGUGUUGGGGAUGGGCACCCAAAACAAGGAGUAACAGCUAGCUUUCUGCAAACUAGAUCUAACACUAAAGUUAAGAAUUAGGUCUUCUACUAAUUACAGGUCAAGGCUAUAUGCUCAGGUGGGUGGGAAGAGUGUUUGGCCUCAUUGACUGCCAUUUGAGGGUGAGCUUUUGUGCCCAUUUGCACAUAUGCAAAUCCCCGUGGAUUUCAGCCUAGGCAGGUCUUGGGAAAAUCAUCUAGGCAGUCACCUCUGGGGGUAAUGGACAGAUCUUGCUAUUGAUCAAUAUUGAUUUGUUGAUGCUGCCAUCAAUGAAACAUCUGUUUGUUUCCUGUGCCAUGGUUGCUUUUUCCUCCUUCUAGUCCCGUGUGGGACUCCUUGCGUGUGGAAUUUUCUCAUGAAGCCCUUGCCGUAGCUUCAACAAAAGGACAUGAAGAAUUUCCUUUCCUUUGCUAGUGGUGGCAUUCAGACAGAAAGAGAACCCCUCAAAAACGUAAAAGCUUUUGUAAAAACAUGAGAAAGGCAUUUAAGGCCCUUUCAAAGAAAGAAAACAUCAAUGUAAAGCCUCCUAUAGUUGUCUGCUGGUGCGGUCUCUCUUGAUUUGGAGAGGUUUUGUUAACCUUGGGGGAAGGGAGGGAGGCAGAAUUAAGGUUUUUGCUGGGUUUUCUUGUCCUACUGGUUUGUUUUGAGUUCUGUGAUAUCUUCUUUUUCAUCAGCGUGUAUGUGGAUCAUGAUAAUUCUUAACUGUUUAUAUAUCCCUCUAGAAGCAUCACUUUUCAAGCACAAAAAAUGCUCAAGUGUGUUGCUUUGGCCCAUUCCCUUGGUACAUUAAAAGAGUUUUCACUUUGAUAACAUAGUUAUCAUGCCAUGUAAUGAGUCAAGUAAUGAGUUCGCAUGACAACGUCACCGAGUCAGGUGUCCCCUGGAGAAGUGAUCACUGGUGGCUUUGUGCAAGAGGAUAGGACAGAGCGAAGUAGGGAGCUUUCAGAGCACCCUUCCACUGGUGCCAGCCCACCAGUUCAUGGGGUUGAUUGUCCUGGUGGAAGUCUGGCCUGUCCUCCCAAGCAUAUGUAUUGUUUGACUAUGGAAACCUCUACUUAUGAACACAGUUUUCUCAGCAGAAAUGUUUAUAGUAGUAUGCAGGAGAGAUUAAUCAGCCCCUGUUCCGAAAGAAAUUGUACUCCAUGAUCUUAGAUGCCAUGAAUGGUUCCAGAUUUAAAAUUGCCCCUGUGAAAAGAAGUGCUGAAGCUUAAAAUUAUCCUAUGAGAAAUGCUCAUACAAAGAUUUCACUUUCAAAGGGGUUUGCACAUCAAAUUUGUGCUGCUCAAAGGACUCGCAGUGCAGCAUGUCUGCUUUGAUGAUGGAAAUAUUACCCUCUUGCCUGGCUUUUAUUUUAUGUUUGUUUUCACUUCUCCCUCCAUCAGGCUCCAGCACCGCUAUUGAAAAAUACUAAUUGCCCAUACCCAGCCCUCCUUCCCAGUGGAGGAGUGGCGGCCACACCACAGCCUGCUGCUGGCAGGGCACGGAUGGACUGGCUGUGCCCUACAGCUUUUCAGUAGAAGCACUCAGACAGCACAGCUGCUAUUGCCUUGGCCAUAAAUCUUCUCUGGGAGCACAGCCUGCUUUAUUGAUUCUGCCAUUUUCUCAUAGGCAAUUCAACCUGCCCUGUUGCCUCUUGCAGAAGCAGGGAAAGCAUAGUUUGCUCUGGAGAGGAUUUAGGUUUUUUUUAUAAUUUCACAAUGAAAUGAGCAAAAAGGUUGAUAGGAUGAGAUUAUUUUUGAGGUAGAGAUUGCUGCCAGCCUUCCUUGAUUUCCAAGUAGAAAGUAGAGGGCAGUCAGAUUUUUAUCCAUGUCUGUUGAGGGAUGGGAUAGAAAUAAUCCAUUUAAUACGCAGUAAAGGAGAUUGAGAUUAGAUACUAGAGAAAUUUGUAUCAGAAACAGUUAAGCUCCAGAGCAGACUGUUCAGUAACUGUCUGAGAGACUGUGUGGGAGACACAUCUGUAAAGGCUGGGCAUAAGUAGAUGGGGUGCUGUCUCCAGGACAUGAUGUGGAUGCUCUGUUUGACUUCACAUUGGUUCAUGUUGGGAGGUUUAUGGAUAUUCAAUGAUCUGAAUUAAGUUGCUGCCAGUGACUGUAAUCUCAGUGACAUCUGCUCUAUGGGUCAAGCGUGGACUUAGAAAUGUGCAGCUGUGCGACUUUACCUGAGUUUUGUUGCUGACUUUACUACAUCUCCAGAUUUACCCACUUAAGCUUUAGGGUGAGUGAGGCUUCCAGAUUUCCUCCAUUCUGGAGGCAGUGCUCCCCAGGGCAAACUGAGAGACACCAACAGUGGUGAUCUUCACAACCAGGAAAUCUAUGACUGAGCUGUCACAUAGGGAAAAAUAUCCUCCUUUGCCAGAUAGGCAUCUCUCUGCAUCAAGAGAGAAUGGGGAACUAAGAGUCAUAUGGUGGUUGUAUAGAACAUCCAGAAAGUACAUUAAUGGAGUACUUCCACUCUUCCAUGUUUUUCUGAUUUUGAGAACAUCACAUGUAGAACAGAGUCAUGUGGUUACUAAUUAUGACUACCAAAGUGCAAUUUGUAAUAAGGCUAGUGGAUGUUUGCAGCACUAAAUAUGAGACAAAAGUCAGAUCAAGCCCAGUUCUUCCUGCCUGGUACAUAUACGUUCCAGGUCACACAGGACAUGUGUUUUGGUUUGGGACGAGUCAGUUCUCUUUCACUCUCACCUCAUGACAUGACCUGAAAAAUGAGGUUGCAUAUAUUGUGAUAGUCCUUUUGCUCAUGCUGGGAUUCUGAUUUUGAUUCAAGAGGAGCACUGCCACUGAUUACAGAGAGACAGGAUCAGACCCUCAGCUUUGCUUCAGUUGGGAUUUUAAGGGCCGUGUGAAAAUCAGAAAAGUUUGUUUUGACCAAAAUGCCUGUGAUGAACUGACGGACAGUCAUUUGCACUCAUGUGAGAAGCGACCUGUGAAGAGCCAUCAAUCCUGCUUGUGACAGCUUACUGACACUUGCUGGUCUUUAGGAUUCGUUUCUUAAAAUGCUAAUACAGAUGAGUUCCUGUCUGUUGUGGGAGAAUAUGGUGGAACUUUGUUAGAUGAGACGCUCUUGUGCAAAUAAAUGUUUCCUGUAAGAAAGCAUUUGGCUCGAAUCUUUUUUCUCUCUCUCUCUUUUUUUAAUCUCCUAAAUUGUUUCCCUAUGUCCUUAGUGACACCCUUAGAAAAAAAUAAAAUAAAAAUUGACCAUCAUAAAAAGUAAAAGUCAACCUCACACAUGCCAGAGGUAAUUGGAGAUUCAUAAUAUAUCCUAUCAAGAGUGGGAUAAUAUACAUGAGCGAUAGCACGAAGGAUGCCUUUCUGCAUUGUUAGCAUCUUGGGGGGCAGCAUCUGAAAAUCGGGGCCCUGCCUUUGCUCUGUGUGCAUUGACAAGCAUGUGGUGCUCUCCUAGGAGCCUGGGUUUGCCCCAGUGGCCCUCGCUAAAACAUUCCCUGCACUUUAGUUGUGCAGCGUGCUUCGCUCAACCCAUCUGGUCACCAUUCUGCACCCUGGGCAUGACUGCAUUUAAUGGCGAAAUGAUUUCUGCAUGUAUACAGUUGGUAGAGUGUUUUGCAUACUGCAUGCGCUCUAGGUAUUACAUAUGAAAGGCAUUAUGUAAGAUUACAGGGAAAGAAAAAUACUCUUUUAAAAAUUGUCUGUAAUUGCCCAGAAUGCUCUUGUGACACCAUUUUUUG